AUACCUUUCUCUUUCCUUCUUUCCUUCUUUCUUUCUUUCUUUCUUUCUUUCUUUCUUUCUUUCUUUCUUUCUUUCUUUCUUUCUUUCUUUCUUUCUUUCUUUCUUCUUUCUUUCUUCUUUCUUUCUUUCCUGUUUAUUUAUUUUUGAGAGAGAGACAGAGAGAAGGAGACACAGAAUCCGAAGCAGGAUCCAGGCUCUGAGCCAUCAGCCCAGAGCCCGACGCGGGGCUCGAACUCAUGGACUGCGAGAUCGUGACCUGAGCUGAAGUCCGACGCUUCACCGACUGAGCCACCCCGGCGCCCGCUUUUACACCUUUGAGUCAUUAGCCAUGAAUUUUCUCCCAACAGCAAUUAGUUCUAUGCUAAUGCAGGAGGUGCUAAUUUUUGUACCGUAUAAAACUGCCACCCAAUUAAGUGCGCAAAAGAGGCGUAACAGAGCCCGGGACUGAGCGCUCAUCCUUCGCUGUAGGAGUGACUCCUGCCUCGGGCUUCGAAGAAGCUCCCCGGCCCUCAUCCUGCGGGGCUCUGGCCCCGGGGCCCCCCGGCAUCUCCUCCCACCCAAGCUCACAGCUCUGUGUCCGGAGAAUUACCCCUGGCAUCUGGGUGCUGACGGCCACUGAGCCCAGCUGUGGACCUGACGUCGUCUGCCCCUUCCUGCAAAGGCCAAGAUUUGUAGACGCGUGUGUCCCUCCUGGCGGAACCUCUCAGAACGAUUCGGCCCCAAGGAGCCUCCAAAGGCACAGGCCCAGACUGAGCCAGACCCAAACCACGUGGCUGCCCCGAGGCCCUCCCCGCUGUGCCCCCACCCCUUCCUUGCAGGCUUUCUCUCCUCCUCCUUGUGUCUGCCCCGCCCCCCCGCCCCCAGGACAGGCUCUGUGCUGGCUCUGUGCUGGGAGGGGUCCCCCCAUCACUCCAGCCCCUGCCCUCCCCCCGCCGCUAUCCCCUGAAUAAAGUCUGUCCUCCCCCAAGUCUGCGUUGUGUUUUCUUUUUUUAAUGUUUAUUUUUGAGGGACAGAGAGAGACAGAGUGCAAGCGGGGGAGGGGCAGAGAGAGGGAGACACAGAAUCUGAAGCACAUUCCAGGCUCUGAGCUGGCAGCACAGGGCCCAAUGCAGGACUCAAGCUCACGAACUGCGAGAUCAUGACCUGAACUGAAGUCGGACGCUCAACCGACUGAGCCGCCCAGGGGAGCCCCUGCAGCCGUGGGGGAGGGACUGGGGGUCAAGAGAGAGCCCCGAGGACAUUCCUGGGACCUUGCAUUCCAAGCAAACAGCUGUACCCUGGAG
rnacentral:lncRNA from 1 species